UCCUAGCCCCGAUAGCAGUGAAAAUCCUUUAUAUUUUUUUCUUUAAAAAAAUAUAAAGAUUGAAACGAAUAGCGGGAAAUAGC
rnacentral:sRNA from 1 species